rnacentral:rRNA from 1 species
UAAUACGAAGGGGGCUAGCGUUGUUCGGAAUCACUGGGCGUAAAGGGCGCGUAGGCGGGCUCUUAAGUCGAGGGUGAAAUCCUGUGGCUCAACCACAGAACGUCCUUCGAUACUGGGAGCCUGGAGUUCGAGAGAGGUUGGUGGAAUUGCGAGUGUAGAGGUGAAAUUCGCAGAUAUUCGCAGGAACACCAGUGGCGAAGGCGGCCAACUGGCUCGAGACUGACGCUGAGGCGCGAAAGCGUGGGGAGCAAACAGGAUUAGAUACCCUGGUAGUCCACGCCGUAAACGAUGGAUGCUAGCUAUUGGCAGGUUCGCCUGUCGGUGGCGCAGCUAACGCAUUAAGCAUCCCGCCUGGGAAGUACGGUCGCAAGACUA